GGCGAGUGGCGAACGGGUGAGUAAUAUAUCGGAACGUACCCUAGAGUGGGGGAUAACGUAGCGAAAGUUACGCUAAUACCGCAUACGAUCUAAGGAUGAAAGUGGGGGAUCGCAAGACCUCAUGCUCGUGGAGCGGCCGAUAUCUGAUUAGCUAGUUGGUAGGGUAAAAGCCUACCAAGGCAUCGAUCAGUAGCUGGUCUGAGAGGACGACCAGCCACACUGGAACUGAGACACGGUCCAGACUCCUACGGGAGGCAGCAGUGGGGAAUUUUGGACAAUGGGCGAAAGCCUG
rnacentral:rRNA from 1 species